rnacentral:rRNA from 1 species
CAGCCGCCGCGGGAAUACGUAGGGUGCAAGCGUUAAUCGGAAUUACUGGGCGUAAAGGGCGCGUAGGCGGGUUUUUAAGUCAGAGGUGAAAUCCCAAGGCUCAACCUUGGAACUGCCUUUGAUACUGGAAAUCUUGAGUCCGGGAGAGGUGAGUGGAACUGCGAGUGUAGAGGUGAAAUUCGUAGAUAUUCGCAAGAACACCAGUGGCGAAGGCGGCUCACUGGCCCGGUACUGACGCUGAGGCGCGAAAGCGUGGGGAGCAAACAGGAUUAGAUACCCCGGUAGUCCCUGUCUCUUUACC